ensembl:lncRNA
AGAAAGAGCAGCUUCUGGCUAUGAAAUAUUUUAGGGCUGAGAAUAACUGGGACACAUUAUCUUUUAGAAAGACCCAUGACUUUUACAUUCCCUUCUUAAAAUGUCAGGUUUUUUAUGGCUGUUUUUAAUAUCCAUAAUAUAUGUGUAUAUAUGUCUAUACAGUAUGCCUCGGCUUUGUGUGUUGUUUGUGGUGUGUGACGGCUUUAUUUCAGAGCUAUAUGUGUUCAGAUCACCUGCUGGUGUUUCUUCAGCCUCUUCUAUCGCAGCGUCUGAGGAAACACACAUCAGUUCUUAAACAUCAGCUAAAGCAUGUUGUUUUGUGAGCAGAACUGAACACCUGUGUUAAAUGAGGUGUACCUGACUCAGGGUUGGUGUCUUCAGGCUCUUAGCUGCUGCCUCAUCCACAGCAUCCUCCGCUGGGUCUUCAGGUGUUUCUUCAGGUGAUAUUUCUCCAGGUGCUGGUUCUUCAGGUGCUGGUUCUUCGGGUGCUGGUUCUUCAGGUGCUGGUUCUUCCGGUGAUAUUUCUUCAGGUGAUGUUUCUUCCGGUGAUGUUUCUUCCGGUGAUAUUUCUUCAGGUGAUGUUUCUUCAGGUGAUGGUUCUUUAGCUGGUUCUUCAGCGUCUGCAGCUGUAACAGAGAUCUCACAAUCAGACAGGUGACACCAUCCCACAGAUUUGUUCCUGUCAGCAUCAGGAGCAUCAGCGGCUGUCAGAUCCUAUCUGUCUAACACGUGGCUUCUCGUCUGUGCCUGAAGCGUAACUCAAGCUCUCCUCAAGCGCACAGGUGACCAUAAAUCACACGCACAGUCUCCGUCGCCUCGCUGGAAUCCAGCAGUAAAUCUCCCGCGGCGCUGUUUUCAGCGUAUAUAAGAUCUAUAUGUUACGUGUCGCGACAGUUCUGCAUUUCUACUGUAACAUCAGAAACAUCCAGUGAGGGAGUCUAUCAAGAACAGACCUGUUCCAGACCCUCAUAUCGGCUUUACAAGAGCUGUUCAUUACUAGGACUGGAUGACACUGCCUUAACAUGACAAUACGUACAAAUACAGGUUUGUUUCCCAUCAUGCAAUCUCAGAUGACAUCACAGCUAACAGGGAACAUUUUUUAAACGUUAUAUCAAUGUUAGGACAAAACAUUCUCAAAGUACUGUUUAUGGAACUUUAUGAAUAUUUGACAACAUUGAGAAAUUCUCAUAAUGUCCUUAUGAUGUUAUUUGUACGUGAUGAACAUCUAGGAAAUGUUUUUGUAACCCUUUAAAUAAUGUUACAAUCACGACAAGAAAUCUGGACAUUUUAACAUUCUUAGAAUAGUAAAAAUAAACAUUCAAAUAACGUUAAACUUUUUUUUCUGGGGCGAAAACAAAAUUAGGACAACGUUUAAGAAACGUUUUUGUAACCUUUAAAUAACAUUAUAGUCAGCAAAAAAAACUGGAUGUUUUACCGUUUAUAAAGUAACAAAAAUAAAUGUUCAAAUAAUGUUAAAUGUUAAGUAAAAAAAAUUGAAAACAAUGUUUACAAAACAUUUUUGUAACCUUUAAAUAAUGUUGCAAUCAAAACAAAUGUUUUUAGAAUUUUAAAAAUAAACGUUCAAAUAAGAUUUUUUUUGUAUGAAAUUAAAGUUAGCAGAUCAUUUUAAGAAAUUAUUUUGUAACCUUUAAAUAAUGUUCUAAUCCCAACAAGAAAAUUGGACAUUUUAACAUUCUUAGAAUAUUAGAAAUAAACAUUCAAAUAACGUUAUACUUUUCUGUGGUAAAAAUAGUAAAAAAAAAA